GAACGCUGGCGGCGUGCCUAAUACAUGCAAGUCGAGCGAACAGACGAGGAGCUUGCUCCUCUGACGUUAGCGGCGGACGGGUGAGUAACACGUGGAUAACCUACCUAUAAGACUGGGAUAACUUCGGGAAACCGGAGCUAAUACCGGAUAAUAUAUUGAACCGCAUGGUUCAAUAGUGAAAGACGGUUUUGCUGUCACUUAUAGAUGGAUCCGCGCCGCAUUAGCUAGUUGGUAAGGUAACGGCUUACCAAGGCAACGAUGCGUAGCCGACCUGAGAGGGUGAUCGGCCACACUGGAACUGAGACACGGUCCAGACUCCUACGGGAGGCAGCAGUAGGGAAUCUUCCGCAAUGGGCGAAAGCCUGACGGAGCAACGCCGCGUGAGUGAUGAAGGUCUUCGGAUCGUAAAACUCUGUUAUUAGGGAAGAACAAAUGUGUAAGUAACUAUGCACGUCUUGAUGGUACCUAAUCAGAAAGCCACGGCUAACUACGUG
rnacentral:rRNA from 1 species